UCCUGGCUCAGGACGAACGCUGGCGGCGUGCUUAACACAUGCAAGUCGAACGAUGAAGCCGCUUCGGUGGUGGAUUAGUGGCGAACGGGUGAGUAACACGUGGGCAAUCUGCCCUGCACUCUGGGACAAGCCCUGGAAACGGGGUCUAAUACCGGAUAUGACACGGGAUCGCAUGGUCUCCGUGUGGAAAGCUCCGGCGGUGCAGGAGCCCGCGGCCUAUCAGCUUGUUGGGGUGAUGGCCUACCAAGGCGACGACGGGUAGCCGGCCUGAGGGCGACCGGCCACACUGGGACUGAGACACGGCCCAGACUCCUACGGGAGGCAGCAGUGGGGAAUAUUGCACAAUGGGCGCAAGCCUGAUGCAGCGACGCCGCGUGAGGGAUGACGGCCUUCGGGUUGUAAACCUCUUUCAGCAAAGAAGCGAGAGUGACGGUACCUGCAGAAGAAGCACCGGCUAACUACGUGCCAGCAGCCGCGGUAAUACGUAGGGUGCGAGCGUUGUCCGGAAUUAUUGGGCGUAAAGAGCUCGUAGGCUUGUCGCGUCGGAUGUGAAAGCCCGGGGCUUAACCCCGGGUCUGCAUUCGAUACGGGCAGGCUAGAGUUCGGCAGGGGAGAUUGGAAUUCCUGGUGUAGCGGUGAAAUGCGCAGAUAUCAGGAGGACCGGUGGCGAAGGCGGAUCUCUGGGCCGAUACUGACGCUGAGGAGCGAAAGGGGGAGCGAACAGGAUUAGAUACCCUGGUAGUCCACGCCAACGUUGGGCACUAGGUGUGGGCGGCAUUCCACGUCGUCCGUGCCGCAAACGCAUUAAGUGCCCCGCCUGGGUACGGA
rnacentral:rRNA from 1 species